AGCUCAGUUGGUUUAAGCGCAGGCGUUGGUGUUGUUGCGCUCCUGGGUUCGAUCCACCGUGGGAGGAGUGUCCAGGGCCUUAACCGGUACAGACGCAGGCUGGCUCCGGGCCUAGGGGGAGGGAGUAGGGCCGAAGGCCCGAACCCACCACCUGAAAAAAAAAAAAAAAAAAAAGUUAUCUGCAUCCAAACACCAUAUAUCUAUAUAUAUAAUAGCA
rnacentral:lncRNA from 1 species